rnacentral:rRNA from 1 species
AUUGAACGCUGGCGGCAGGCCUAACACAUGCAAGUCGAGCGAGCGGCGGACGGGUGAGUAAUGUCUGGGUAACUGCCUGAUGGAGGGGGAUAACUACAGGAAACGGUAGCUAAUACCGCAUACCAUCAGAUGUGCCCAGAUGGGAUUAGCUAGUAGGUGGGGUAACGGCUCACCUAGGCGACGCUACCUAGCGGGUCUGAGAGGAUGACCAGCCAGCCGGGAACUGAGACAAGUUCCAGACUCCUACGGGAGGCAGCAGUGGGGAAUAUUGCACAAUGGGCGCAAGCCUGAUGCAGCCAUGCCGCGUGUAUGAAGAAGGCCUUCGGGUUGUAAAGCACUUUCAGCGGGGAGGCGUUACCCGCAGAAGAAGCACCGGCUAACUCCGUGCCAGCAGCCGCGGUAAUUC